UCCACCACCGUUCGGGUAACUGGGAACGUGGCGGUGAUCACCGGAACCACCAUCGGAGUUACCGUUAUUUCAGUUCAGCCGUUCAUACUUGUUUGGGAUUGAGUUACGGGCCUUGAUUGCUGAGUUCUAUGGAUGUUGUAUAUGGCAUCAAGGUGCUGCGUUGUCACCGGAGCUGCUGUUGCUCCGUUUGCUCGAUUAUUCGAUUGAGUUAAGGCUGUGUUUAGAGGCUGUGGCUGCUGCGGGGACGGUCGAUAUUGAUGCUGUUGCUGUGGAAUAAGAAUAGAAAUGCAGUUUUCCGCGUAGUUGAAUCACGAACGAGCUUUACCCUUUUCAGGAACCGGAUGAAGAAGCAUUAAGAAGAGAGUUAUAUUGCGUUUGGUUUAUAUGCUGUUGUAUUAUUUAGAUUAUUUUCUUCCCUCGUCUUUAUUAUUACAAGUUUGUAAGAGGGAUAGGAAUUGUAUGUUUUAUAUGUAUAAUAUAUUGAAUUAUUAUGUAAGGAGUUUUGUAUA